GACAGAGGGUGCAAACGUUGCUCGGAAUUACUGGGCGUAAAGAGCGUGUAGGCGGCCAGGUAGGUCUGCUGUGAAAACUCGAGGCUCAACCUCGAGACGUCGGCGGAAACCAUCUGGCUAGAGUCCGGAAGAGGAGAGUGGAAUUCCUGGUGUAGCGGUGAAAUGCGCAGAUAUCAGGAAGAACACCCGUGGCGAAGGCGGCUCUCUGGGACGGUACUGACGCUGAGACGCGAAAGCGUGGGGAGCGAACAGG
rnacentral:rRNA from 1 species